rnacentral:rRNA from 1 species
UGGGGAAUAUUGCACAAUGGGCGCAAGCCUGAUGCAGCCAUGCCGCGUGUGUGAAGAAGGCCUUCGGGUUGUAAAGCACUUUCAGCGGGGAGGAAGGCGAUAAGGUUAAUAACCUUGUCGAUUGACGUUACCCGCAGAAGAAGCACCGGCUAACUCCGUGCCAGCAGCCGCGGUAAUACGGAGGGUGCAAGCGUUAAUCGGAAUUACUGGGCGUAAAGCGCACGCAGGCGGUCUGUCAAGUCGGAUGUGGAAUCCCCGGGCUUAACCUGGGAACUGCAUUCGAAAAUGGCAGGCUAGAGUCUUGUAGAGGGGGGUAGAAUUUCAGGUGUAGCGGUGAAAUGCGUAGAGAUCUGGAGGAAUACCGGUGGCGAAGGCGGCCCCCUGGACAAAGACUGACGCUCAGGUGCGAAAGCGUGGGGAGCAAACAGG